rnacentral:rRNA from 1 species
AGUGAACGCUGGCGGUAGGCCUAACACAUGCAAGUCGAACGGCAGCACAGUAAGAGCUUGCUCUUACGGGUGGCGAGUGGCGGACGGGUGAGGAAUACAUCGGAAUCUACUUUUUCGUGGGGGAUAACGUAGGGAAACUUACGCUAAUACCGCAUACGACCUACGGGUGAAAGCAGGGGAUCUUCGGACCUUGCGCGAUUGAAUGAGCCGAUGUCGGAUUAGCUAGUUGGCGGGGUAAAGGCCCACCAAGGCGACGAUCCGUAGCUGGUCUGAGAGGAUGAUCAGCCACACUGGAACUGAGACACGGUCCAGACUCCUACGGGAGGCAGCAGUGGGGAAUAUUGGACAAUGGGCGCAAGCAUGAUCCAGCCAUACGGCGUGGGUGAAGAAGGCCUUCGGGUUGUAAAGCCCUUUUGUUGGGAAAGAAAAGCAGCAGGUUAAUACCCCGCUGUUCUGACGGUACCCAAAGAAUAAGCACCGGCUAACUUCGUG